rnacentral:tmRNA from 1 species
GGGGCUGAUAUAGCUUUCGACAAUUGGACUUUAUCAAGAUAUUCUGCGAGCCGACGAUACGCGUAACGUAUGUUUUAGUUGCAAAGUCUAAACUUGCAGGUGCAUUUGCUAGCCUGAAGAGUGUUUUCACUCCGAUGGCUGCUGCGCCAGUCGCUGCUUAAUUUAAGCGACCGUCCUUGCUUUGCGGCAACAGGCAAAGCCUAGGGUGUCAUAUAUAUGUUGCUGGCUGCAUGUUCGGAAGCGGCGGACAUGUGGGACUUUCUCCGCGUAACGAAGCUUGGUUUUUUGGUUCGUUUUUAAGCCGAGCAACGUUAUAAAAUAAAUUAAAAGAACCUAUGCUCGUAGACGGAUAUCAUGAUACCAGUUGGACCCGGGGGCAGUACCCGGCAGCUCCACCA